GUAUAGACUUAAAAGUGAAGGGGCAAUAUGGGUAAUUUGUUCUAGCUUAGAGGGUUUUUGGAGGGUUUUAGCUUCUUCCUGUUGUCAAUGGCAGUUCUGAGUAAGUAGCCGAAACUAAUAGACGAGCCCAUCAACAUCCCCUUUUGAAUUGAUAGGAGUUUGCUGCAGCCAUGUUGAAGGUUCUCAAAUCCUCAUGUCUUCUACAAAGUCGUUCCCACGCUCAAGUUCGGUCCAAUACGCCAUUGCUUCGGGUUUUAGGUUCAAACGGAAGAGGUCCCUAUUUGUAUCGACGAUUCUUUUGUUCGGAUUCUACCGAACCAAACUCCGAGGCCAAGCAGGCCGAGGCCGAAACCGAAGGCGGUGGAGAUGCUGCUGAUUCAAAGGCUUCCGCAGCUAUUGUUCCCACUGUAUUUAGGCCUGAAGAUUGCCUAACGGUUCUAGCACUGCCACUUCCUCACAGACCAUUAUUUCCAGGGUUUUAUAUGCCUAUUUAUGUGAAGGAUCCGAAGGUAUUAGCAGCCUUGGUGGAAAGUCGAAAAAGGCAAGCACCUUAUGCUGGUGCUUUCCUUCUGAAAGAUGAGCAAGGGACUGAUCCUAAUGUUGUCUCUGCGUCAGAUACAGAAAAAAACAUCUAUGAGAUCAAAGGAAAAGACUUGUUUAACCGUCUUCAUGAAGUUGGUACACUUGCUCAGAUAACAAGUAUUCAAGGAGACCAGGUUAUUCUUAUUGGUCACAGGCGGAUACGUAUGACAGAGGUGGUCAGUGAGGAACCCCUUACAGUGAAAGUUGAUCAUCUCAAGGAGGAACCGUACAACAAGGGCGACGAUGUUAUAAAGGCGACAUCUUUUGAAGUUCUAUCAACCCUAAGAGAUGUUCUGAAGACAAGUUCUCUUUGGAAAGAUCAUGUUCAAACUUAUAUCCAGCAUAUCGGUGAUUUCAAUUAUGCAAGGUUAGCAGAUUUUGGAGCAGCAAUAUCUGGAGCCAACAAGCUACAAUGCCAGCAAGUGCUUGAAGAGCUAGAUGUGCAUAAACGGUUACAACUUACGCUGGAGAUAGUGAAGAAAGAAAUGGAGAUUAGUAAGAUUCAGGAAUCAAUAGCAAAAGCAAUCGAAGAAAAGAUAAGUGGAGAGCAACGCCGUUAUUUGUUGAAUGAACAAUUAAAGGCCAUAAAGAAGGAACUAGGUUUGGAGACUGAUGACAAGACAGCUCUUUCUGCAAAGUUCAGGGAAAGGCUGGAGCCUAAUAAAGAAAAAAUACCGGCACAUGUUAUGCAAGUUAUUGAAGAAGAACUUACAAAACUGCAACUAUUGGAAGCUAGUUCAAGUGAAUUUAACGUAACACGUAAUUAUCUUGAUUGGUUGACUGCCCUGCCAUGGGGUAGUUACAGUGAUGAAAACUUUGAUGUACUACGGGCAGAAAAAGUUCUUGACGAAGACCAUUAUGGGUUAAGCGAUGUUAAGGAAAGGAUCUUGGAAUUUAUAGCUGUGGGAAAACUCAGAGGAACCUCGCAAGGGAAAAUCAUAUGCCUCUCUGGCCCUCCUGGAGUGGGAAAAACCAGUAUAGGUCGUUCAAUUGCACGUGCAUUGAACCGCAAGUUCUACCGAUUUUCUGUUGGAGGAUUGUCUGAUGUUGCUGAAAUAAAGGGACAUCGACGAACUUAUAUUGGCGCCAUGCCGGGGAAGAUGGUGCAAUGUUUAAAAAGUGUGGGAACAGCUAAUCCUCUUGUUUUGAUAGAUGAAAUUGAUAAGCUAGGAAGGGGACAUGCUGGUGAUCCAGCAAGUGCUAUGUUGGAGCUUCUUGAUCCAGAGCAGAAUGCAAAUUUCUUGGAUCAUUAUCUUGACGUCCCUAUUGAUUUAUCAAAGGUUUUGUUUGUCUGCACAGCCAAUGUCGUAGAAAUGAUACCUAAUCCUCUUUUAGAUAGAAUGGAGGUAAUUUCAAUCGCUGGUUACAUAACUGAUGAGAAAAUGCACAUAGCACGGGAUUAUUUGGAAAAGAGUACUCGUGAAACAUGUGGGAUCAAGCCUGAACAGGUUGAAGUGACUGAUGCAGCUCUUCUUGCUUUAAUAGAAAAUUAUUGCAGAGAAGCCGGUGUUCGCAAUCUGCAGAAGCAGAUUGAAAAGAUCUAUCGCAAGAUAGCUUUAAAGCUUGUUAGGAAAGAUGGAGAGAUUGAGCCUCAGAAUGCGGUGGUAGAUGAGGUAAAAGCAGAAUCUGUCCAUCUAUCAGACGAAAUCAAGUCUAAGGAAGAAACUCAAGCUGGAGCUGAGUCAGCAGAGGGUAGCAAUGAUGACAAGUCCUCUUUAAAUGUUGCUGAAGCUGAAGCACAGAAGUCUACCGAUGAAGAUAUUCAUUUACAGGAUUCUCAGGAAACUGAGAAAGCUACAGAAAGUGAAGCAAGGAAAACAAUAGAUAAAGUGGUCGUGGACUCACCAAACCUAGCUGAUUAUGUAGGCAAACCUGUUUUCCAUGCUGAGCGCAUAUACGAUCGGACCCCGGUUGGAGUUGUGAUGGGUCUUGCUUGGACUUCAAUGGGUGGCUCAACACUCUAUAUAGAAACGUCCCUGGUGGAGCAAGGAGAAGGAAAAGGGGCUCUCAAUGUAACAGGACAACUAGGCGACGUAAUGAAAGAAAGUGCCCAAAUUGCCCAUACAGUUGCCAGGAUCAUUUUGCAGGAAAAGGAGCCUGAUAACCAGUUCUUUGCAAAUAGUAAGCUUCAUCUUCAUGUUCCUGCAGGUGCUACCCCUAAGGAUGGCCCUAGUGCUGGUUGUACUAUGAUAACGUCCUUGUUAUCUCUUGCCAUGAAAAAGCCUGUUAAAAAGGAUCUGGCAAUGACUGGGGAAGUCACGCUAACUGGAAAAAUUCUUCCUAUCGGAGGGGUCAAGGAGAAGGCCAUAGCAGCACGGCGAAGUGGUGUGAAAACUAUUAUCUUCCCUUCAGCUAAUCGAAGAGAUUUUGAUGAACUUGCUCCUAAUGUCAAGGAAGGGCUUGAUGUACACUUUGUGGAUGAAUACAAGCAAAUACAUGAUUUGGCAUUUUGACAGCCAGAGUACAUAAUAUUUAAGUUGUUUUGGUGACAAAUUGUCCAGCUGUAGGUUUAGUUCGCCUGCUCAUUCAUUCUGGUCCUUAUGCCCGGAGACGUAGUUUUGUUUUCCUCCUUGUUUCAUGUUUGCAAACGUUUAUUGAUGUCAAAACAAGCAGCUUUGAUAUUUUACACCAUUGUAUCACAUAAUUCAUAAAUCUCAUGAAGGCGAAGAGACAAAAGAAGGAAAAACGAAAGGAAGAAACGGAGAACAGUAAGGAACCUUAUUUCCGUUUCCGUCAACGUACAGACAGUUGGUUCUUUAUGUUAGCUGUCUAAUCUGCGACCAGUAUGCAAGCAUAGCUAGUAUUGAUGUAUGUACUCUUUCUUGGUCACGAGAUGGUCGUCUUAGUCUCUUUUUGUUGUUUCUUUCUUUGAUAGUAGUAGCUUGCAAAGUGCAGUUUCAGGAGCAAAUUAUGCUACAAAAGAAAAGUAGAUAUAUCGAUGCUUUCAUCAAUAAAAUAACACCUGAUGUACUUGUGUUAAAACCCAUUAAAUGGGUAUUAAUAGAACUGUUAAGAGUAGACUACCCCAAAAA